rnacentral:rRNA from 1 species
AAAAGAGGAGUGGCGAACGGGUGAGUAACACGUGGGUAACCUGCCCAUCAGAAGGGGAUAACACUUGGAAACAGGUGCUAAUACCGUAUAACAAUCGAAACCGCAUGGUUUUGAUUUGAAAGGCGCUUUCGGGUGUCGCUGAUGGAUGGACCCGCGGUGCAUUAGCUAGUUGGUGAGGUAACGGCUCACCAAGGCCACGAUGCAUAGCCGACCUGAGAGGGUGAUCGGCCACAUUGGGACUGAGACACGGCCCAAACUCCUACGGGAGGCAGCAGUAGGGAAUCUUCGGCAAUGGACGAAAGUCUGACCGAGCAACGCCGCGUGAGUGAAGAAGGUUUUCGGAUCGUAAAACUCUGUUGUUAGAGAAGAACAAGGAUGAGAGUAACUGUUCAUCCCUUGACGGUAUCUAACCAGAAAGCCACGGCUAACUACGUGCCAGCAGCCGCGGUAAUACGUAGGUGGCAGGCGUUGUCCGGAUUUAUUGGGCGUAAAGCGAGCGCAGGCGGUUUCUUAAGUCUGAUGUGAAAGCCCCCGGCUCAACCGGGGAGGGUCAUUGGAAACUGGGAGACUUGAGUGCAGAAGAGGAGAGUGGAAUUCCAUGUGUAGCGGUGAAAUGCGUAGAUAUAUGGAGGAACACCAGUGGCGAAGGCGGCUCUCUGGUCUGUAACUGACGCUGA